rnacentral:rRNA from 1 species
GUGAGGAAUUUUCCGCAAUGGGCGAAAGCCUGACGGAGCAAUGCCGCGUGAAGGAUGAAGGCCUAUGGGUUGUAAACUUCUUUUCUCAGAAAAGAAUUAUGACGGUAUCUGAGGAAUAAGCAUCGGCUAACUCUGUGCCAGCAGCCGCGGUAAGACAGAGGAUGCAAGCGUUAUCUGGAAUGAUUGGGCGUAAAGCGUCUGUAGGUUGUUUAAAAAGUAUUCUGUCAAAGAUUAGGGCUUAACCCUAGAUAGGCAGAAUAAACUUUUAAGCUAGAGUUUGGUAGAGGCAGAGGGAAUUCCCGGUGGAGCGGUGAAAUGCGUAGAUAUCGGGAGGAACACCAAAGGCGAAGGCACUCUGCUGGGCCAAUACUAACACUGAGAGACGAAAGCGAGGGGAGCAAAUGGGAUUAGAAACCCGAGUAGUCC